GUUUGGUGGAUUUAGGGGCGUCUACUUGUAGAGCCUGACCUCCACUUCUAACACUGUGCACUUGAUGGCGAGGUAAUGGAACUUUCGAGUGAAACUACCUUGCGGCUUCAUUUUAAACAUUAGUCAAAGUAUGUAAUGAAAUAUUAAAACAAAAAAAAACUUUCAACAACGGAUCUCUUGGCUCUCGCAUCGAUGAAGAACGCAGCGAAAUGUGAUAAGUAAUGUGAAUUGCAGAAUUCAGUGAAUCAUCGAAUCUUUGAACGCACCUUGCGCUCCCUGGUAUUCCGGGGAGCAUGCCUGUUUGAGUGUCAUGAACUCUUCAACCCACCAGUUUCUAGUAGACUGCGUUGGUGUUUGGAUUUUGAGCGUUGCUAGUCUGACUAGCUCGUUCGUAAUACAUUAGCAUCUCUAAUUCGAAUUCGGAUUGACUCAGUGUAAUAGACUAUUCGCUGAGGACACUUUUAUUAGUGGCCGUACUAGAACCAGUAGAAGCUUCCAACUAUUGUAGUCAACUUUAAUUUAGACCUCAGAUCAGGCAGGAUUACCCGCUGAACUUAAGCAUAUCAA
rnacentral:rRNA from 1 species